AGUGAACGCUGGCGGUAGGCCUAACACAUGCAAGUCGAACGGCAGCACAGUAAGAGCUUGCUCUUACGGGUGGCGAGUGGCGGACGGGUGAGGAAUACAUCGGAAUCUACUUUUUCGUGGGGGAUAACGUAGGGAAACUUACGCUAAUACCGCAUGCGACCUACGGGUGAAAGCAGGGGAUCUUCGGACCUUGCGCGAUUGAAUGAGCCGAUGUCGGAUUAGCUAGUUGGCGGGGUAAAGGCCCACCAAGGCGACGAUCCGUAGCUGGUCUGAGAGGAUGAUCAGCCACACUGGAACUGAGACACGGUCCAGACCCCUACGGGAGGCAGCAGUGGGGAAUAUUGGACAAUGGGCGCAAGCCUGAUCCAGCCAUACCGCGUGGGUGAAGAAGGCCUUCGGGUUGUAAAGCCCUUUUGUUGGGAAAGAAAAGCAGCAGGUUAAUACCCCGCUGUUCUGACGGUACCCAAAGAAUAAGCACCGGCUAACUUCGUG
rnacentral:rRNA from 1 species